UGGGGCGGGGAAUGGGGGUUAUGGGGCUGAUAUGGGGGGAUAUGGGGCGGAUAUGGGGGGCUAUGGGGCAGAAAUGAGGGGCUAUGGGGCAGAUAUGGGGGCUAUGGGGCAGGGAAUGGGGGUUAUGGGGUGGAUAUGGGGGGAUAUGGGGCAGGGAAUGGGGGUUAUGGGGCGGAUAUGGGGGGCUAUGGGGCGGAUAUGGGGGGCUAUGGGGCAGAUAUGGGGGCUAUGGGGCAGGGAAUGGGGGUUAUGGGGCGGAUAUGGGGGGAUAUGGGGCGGAUAUGGGGUAUAUGGGGGGCUAUGGGGCGGAUAUGGGGGCUAUGGGGCAGGGAAUGAGGGUUAUGGGGCGGAUAUGGGGGGAUAUGGGGUGGAUAUAGGGUAUAUGGGGGGCUAUGGGGCGGAUAUGGGGGCUAUGGGGCAGGGAAUGAGGGUUAUGGGGCGGAUAUGGGGGCAUAUGGGGGCUAUGGGACAGAUAUGGGGGCUAUGGGGCAGAAAUUAGGGGUUAUGGGGUGGAUAUGGGGGGAUAUGGGGCAGGGAAUGGGGGUUAUGGGGCGGAUAUGGGGGGCUAUGGGGCGGAUAUGGG
ensembl:lncRNA